UACGUAGGGUGCAAGCGUUGUCCGGAAUUAUUGGGCGUAAAGAGCUCGUAGGCGGUUUGUUGCGUCGGCCGUGAAAACCUGCAGCUUAACUGUGGGCCUGCGGCCGAUACGGGCAGACUUGAGUUCGGUAGGGGAGACUGGAAUUCCUGGUGUAGCGGUGAAAUGCGUAGAUAUCUGGAGGAACACCGGUGGCGAAGGCGACAUCCUGGACCGGUAUUGACGCUGAGGCGCGAAAGCCAGGGGAGCAAACGGG
rnacentral:rRNA from 1 species